rnacentral:rRNA from 1 species
AGUGAACGCUGGCGGCAGGCCUAAUACAUGCAAGUCGAACGGCAGCACAGUGGAGCUUGCUCCAUGGGUGGCGAGUGGCGGACGGGUGAGGAAUACAUGGGAAUCUGCCCAGUCGUGGGGGAUAACGUAUGGAAACGUACGCUAAUACCGCAUGCGCCCUUCGGGGGAAAGUCGGGGACCGCAAGGCCUGACGCGAUUGGAUGAGCCCAUGUUCGAUUAGCUAGUUGGCGGGGUAACGGCCCACCGAGGCGACGAUCGAUAGCUGGUCUGAGAGGAUGAUCAGCCACACUGGAACUGAGACACGGUCCAGGACUCCUA